rnacentral:rRNA from 1 species
UAUCUGCAGUCGAGCGGAGCACUUCGGGUGCUUAGCGGCGGACGGGUGAGUAACACGUUAGGCAACCUGCCUGUAAGACUGGGAUAACUAUCGGAAACGAUAGCUAAGACCGGAUAACUGGUUUUCUCGCAUGGGAGAAUCAUGAAACACGGAGCAAUCUGUGGCUUACAGAUGGGCCUGCGGCGCAUUAGCUAGUUGGUGAGGUAACGGCUCACCAAGGCGACGAUGCGUAGCCGACCUGAGAGGGUGAACGGCCACACUGGGACUGAGACACGGCCCAGACUCCUACGGGAGGCAGCAGUAGGGAAUCUUCCGCAAUGGACGCAAGUCUGACGGAGCAACGCCGCGUGAGUGAUGAAGGUUUUCGGAUCGUAAAGCUCUGUUGCCCUAGACGAACAGCAAGGCGAGUAACUGCGCUUUGUGUGACGGUAUAGGAGAAGAAAGCCCCGGCUAACUACGUGCCAGCAGCCGCGGUAAUACGUAGGGGGCAAGCGUUGUCCGGAAUUAUUGGGCGUAAAGCGCGCGCAGGCGGUUAAUUAAGUUGGGUGUUUAAGCCCGGGCUCACCCCGGUUCGCAUCCAAAACUGGUUGACUUGAGUGUAGAAAAGAAAAUGAAAUUCCCCGUGUAGCGGUGAAAUCUAAAAAUGUGAAGAACACCCAUGGCAAAGGCAAUUUUCUGGCCU